GAAGCUGAGGCAUCUGCAGGGAGGAGACCGAAGCAGGCACAUCGUGGUGGCAGCAGGCCUAUGGAACUACGACGAGCCUUAUGCCUGGACGACCUAUCAGGCCCAGUUCCACGUGCUCGCCGGGUUUGACGUAGACAUCCUGAUAAGCAUAAGCAGCGUGGGUACUAUGGAAUCAGACAAGAUCUGCUUUGCCGCACCACCGACCGUCUGGAACUCAACAAACACAGUCUUCGCCGGCUUCGUGUGCGACCCGCACGUGAACUUGACGAGAAUGGACGACCUUCCCGUGGAAUUUGGAGCCACUUCCACUUCCGUCUUUUUCUACGAUAGCUGGGAGACAAUCAAGA